CCUACGGGAGGCAGCAGUAAGGAAUAUUGGUCAAUGGGCGCAAGCCUGAACCAGCCAUGCCGCGUGCAGGAUGACUGCCCUAUGGGUUGUAAACUGCUUUUGUACGGGAAGAAACCCUGAUACGUGUAUCAGGUUGACGGUACCGUAAGAAUAAGGACCGGCUAACUUCGUGCCAGCAGCCGCGGUAAUACGAAGGGUCCAAGCGUUAUCCGGAUUUAUUGGGUUUAAAGGGUGCGUAGGCGGCUUAUUAAGUCAGUGGUGAAAGCCCAGAGCUCAACUCUGGAACUGCCAUUGAUACUGGUGAGCUUGAAUAUAGUUGAGGUAGGCGGAAUACGACAUGUAGCGGUGAAAUGCUUAGAUAUGUCAUAGAACACCGAUUGCGAAGGCAGCUUGCUAAACUAUUAUUGACGCUGAGGCACUAAAGCGUGGGGAUCAAACAGGAUUAGAUACCCUGGUAGUCCACGCCCUAAACGUUGAUAACUCGUUAUGUGCGAUAUACAGUACGUGACUAAGCGAAAGCAUAAGUUAUCACCUGGAAGUAACGGUGCAAGAUAGAACUUNAANAGAGUUGAGNGNGAGAGNGCGAGACGACGACGAGGAGGAGG
rnacentral:rRNA from 1 species